rnacentral:rRNA from 1 species
UACAGGGGGUGCAAACGUUGCUCGGAAUCAUUGGGCGUAAAGCGCACGUAGGCGGUUCGUUAUGUCGGAUGUGAAAGCCCUUGGCUUAACCGAGGAAGUGCAUCCGAAACUGGCGAGCUAGAGUACAAAAGAGGAUCGCGGAAUUCCCGGUGUAGAGGUGAAAUUCGUAGAGAUCGGAAAGAACACCAACGGCGAAAGCACUCUGCUGGGCCGACACUGACACUGAGAGACGAAAGCUAGGGGAGCGAAUGGG